rnacentral:rRNA from 1 species
ACGAGCGGCGGACGGCUGAGUAACGCGUAGGAACCUACCCUAAAGUGAGGGAUAAGCACCAGAAAUGGUGUCUAAUACCGCAUGUGCUCUAAGGAGUAAAGCUACGGCGCUUUGGGAAGGGCCUGCGUAUGAUUAGCUUGUUGGUGAGGUAAUAGCUCACCAAGGCGACGAUCAUUAGCUGGUCUGAGAGGAUGAUCAGCCAGACUGGGACUGAGAACGGCCCAGACUCCUACGGGAGGCAGCAGUAGGGAAUCUUCCACAAUGGGCGAAAGCCUGAUGGAGCAACGCCGCGUGCAGGAUGAAUGCCUUAGGGUUGUAAACUGCUUUUAUAUGUGACGAUUAUGACGGUAGCAUAUGAAUAAGGAUCGGCUAACUCCGUGCCAGCAGCCGCGGUCAUACGGAGGAUCCAAGCGUUAUCCGGAAUUACUGGGCGUAAAGAGUUGCGUAGGUGGCAUAGUAAGCGGACAGUGAAAUCGUAUGGCUCAACCAUAUAUACAUUGUCUGAACUGCUAAGCUAGAGGACGAGAGAGGUACCUGGAAUUCCCAGUGUAGGAGUGAAAUCCGUAGAUAUUGGGAGGAACACCGAUGGCGUAGGCAGGGUACUGGCUUGUUCCUGACACUAAGGCACGAAAGCGUGGGGAGCGACCGGGAUUAGAUACCCCGUUAGUCCACGCCGUA